GACAUAUACAUGCACUCAUCAACGUUCAUUUAAAUCAACCGAUUGUGUGAAAGUGUUAUAGAAGCAAACGUAAUACACAGGUGAUACAAACAGAUCUUUAAAGAUUCGAUCAAUUGUGAUUUAAAUAGAAUAAGUAGCAACGGUAGGUGAAGAGUAAGGAACGUAUAGUGGAGUGGACAAUGAACGGGCUAAAAUGCGGGCUUUGCGACUCGCGGCUGGGGCUAUCGCCAUCGCCCGGCUUUGGUCACGUACAACUUUGCAUGCACACUACAACAAUUGCAUCACAUAAACAACAAUCAAAGACAGUGCACCCAUAAUUCGAUGCAUUUUAAUGACUCGCGGAUCUCAUUUUAAUAAUGACAUUUAAAUUAUAAAUAUAGGUGUCGGGCGGGAAGAAAUUUGUUAACAGCUUGAAAUGGAAGCGUCGAAAUGUCACACACACAUCAACUCAUGCUAUAGCAAUCCAGCAAAUGGACUUUGGCUUGUCUACGAAUUAGAAUUCCGCUAGCAAUGAGAAAAUGAGAGCCGAGCAGCAAUAUAUAGCAAACAGCAACAACACAACAGAAAGGUAUGACUGCAACAACAGAACAUCAGUCAAACAUCGAGGGCCAGCGGGGUAGAUGCGGCCCAGCCGCGACUGCAUCCACCCGAGCCGCCAAAACAGAACAUUGAGGUUAAUCAUGUUAAUUACAUAUCACGCCGCGGGGGAACUAGGAAGGGUAGCAGCGGUUAGGCACCUGUCCCGAGGACGGCGUCUGCAGGUACGAGGAUACAUCGGGCUCCACCAUGCAGCUACGCAGCGAAUCGGGGAUGAACAUUCCUCAGGGUCACCGGCCGGCGCCGUGGUGCGCGCCUUGUCCCAUCACCAGCGUCUCUUCACAACGCCACCGCAGGAAACAGACGUAUUUUUCAUUGAUUUCGCACUGCGCACUGCAGUCUUGUCAAUAGUUCGAUUUCACGUCACAUGCCAACAUAAAACGCACCCUUUCUACCGCGCGAUAGCCAAGUACUUAUGCUUACUAUUAAUAAAGACGCCAACUCUCGGUGUAUUUAUAUUUUGCUACGCUGGGGGUGCCGGCUGGGAUCGUUUUAUGCCCACGAAACAUGUUGGUUUCGAAUAGCUUCAAACGGAUGACUGCCGAUAAUAUCAAAGCUUUGCGGCGACGCGAACGGCGCACCGCGACGCUACUACCACCGCACUUCUGACGAUCCUGCUUCUCUGGGUAACGAUCGGUAUUGCAUGUGCACCAUCGCAGAUUUACGACGAUUUGCUCUUAGUCGACGCUUCGCAUCCCAGAUCCCAAUUAUAGAACGUAAACACCUGCCUUUCGAUAUAAAUAAUGCUACACCACCAACACUAUGCUGCCACCAAAAAUUCCUCUAUUAUACCUAUCGGUUAUCAAUUAUCCUUGAAACUAAUUGCAAAACUAAUCCGCAUUCCCAAAGUCGUAUUUUUGUUACCUGAGGACCAAAAAAGAAAACCGAAAAUCUCCUCCAGAAGCGUCUUGAUGCUAUUUCGAGGUACAAAAUCGGUGCGGUUUAGCGAAACAAAGUUUUUUAUUAUCCAACUUUCAUAAGAGAUACGAAAUUAAGUUUGUCUUUCAACUAGCUUCUGUUCUGUUAUAGAACGUCCAAAAUAACUUUUCUAUAAAAAGAAAUUUUCUUGAUUCGGCCAGGCAACUAAAACGAUUUCUAUUUCCUGUUCAGCAGGAAAUGAACAAACCUCAACGUAAAUAAGUGGCGUAAAUACCGCGUAACAUUUGAUUUCUUUAUUGAUCAACAAUAAUACAUGUGCGAUGGCUUCCGUCAAAGGAAUGUGCACCAAUAUACAACAUUUAAAAUAAAAAAUGAAAAAGGAAAAAAAAAUCUGGAAAACUGAUCAAUACAAAUUGCCGUACUUCGACUAUGACAAAACGUAUCGUAUUGUGUCUGACUUUCGAAACAAGGACGUUCCACUGCCUAAAACGCAUCAUAAAAAUACUUACAAAAAAGAGAUUACUUACCUACUCGAAAAUUAUUAGUCUCCGAGUUUAUGUCCUCAUCUGAGUAGCCUUUCAUUGCCUUCGUUGCCACAGGCCCCAUAUAGUUAUUUACGACUGCAAAUUCCAUCAGCGACAAAAAUACAAAAACGGAACAACUCGACAUCCAGACAUCGAUAGCUUUUACGUAGGAAACGGGAGGAAGAGACUGCUGAGAUUGUGUGUUCUGCGUAGCUAGCAAAAAUUGAUAUAAUUUCAUCAAUGAGCGCAAAUUACAAUACCUAAAGUCAAUAGGGAAGUUACGCCCAGCGUCACUCUCGCCGGUAUUGCUUCCGGUUUAAUCCAGAACGAUAUCCAAGACA